rnacentral:rRNA from 1 species
UACGUAGGGCGCAAGCGUUAUCCGGAAUUAUUGGGCGUAAAGAGCUCGUAGGCGGUUUGUCGCGUCUGCCGUGAAAGUCCGGGGCUCAACUCCGGAUCUGCGGUGGGUACGGGCAGACUAGAGUGAUGUAGGGGAGACUGGAAUUCCUGGUGUAGCGGUGAAAUGCGCAGAUAUCAGGAGGAACACCAGUGGCGAAGGCGGGUCUCUGGGCCGAUACUGACGCUGAGGAGCGAAAGCGUGGGGAGCGAACAGG